CGCUGCCGGUGGCCGGCCGGCGAAGCCGCGCCGCGCCCAGGGACGGCAGCGGCGGGGCUGUUCCGUCUCCCUACCUCCUGCCAGAGCCACCACCCCACCAUACGUAGAUCUGGCCGGGAGCCCCGCCGCCGACGAGGGCCACACCGGCGAUCUCGCGCAACCUACCUGCCUCCUGUUUCCUCUCCGUUCUCCUCCUUCUCUCUCCGACCCUUGUUCAUCCGCGGCCGCCCGAGCUCGCCCCGAUUCAUGGCCCUCUCCUUCCGCCAACUCUGGUCCAUCGCCGGUCGUCUGUGGCGCGAGCGUCGCGCCUCCUCCUCAACCUCCUCGAUCCGCGAUGCCCUGACUGCACUGCGCACGUGCGCCUCGCGAGCCAUGGCCGCCUUUUGCCGAGCUGCGGGAUCGACGUCUGACCGCCACCAUGACCGGUAUCUUGCUAAGGUCCCGGUCGCAGUCUCGUGUGCCUUUGGACCUUGGGAGCGACUGGGUGAUUAUAUGCCAGACGCCAAAAGCAAUAUUGCAACACCAUGCGUGAGGAACAUGAUUCUGCCAGUAUUUAAGCAUUAUACUUGCUAACACUGAGAGCUUAAUUAUCUUUGAUGCAACCAGUCCGUCCAAGCAUCCAAAUGUACGAUUCAUGUGCCUAGAAUCAGUACUUUUGCAUGUCUGAUGCAUGCAGAAAUAUCCAAAUUCGGCCAUUAAUUUCCCUUUUAGUACUUACUAAUGUUUUUUUAUUGUUUUGGUUGAUCCGGGGAGCGGGGGCCGAUGGCAGAAGGGAAUGGGGACCAGUGGCUGCGGGGAAUGAGAUCUGCAAGUAUUUAUUAACAGAUGGUGGUGUUCUCAGAUAUUUGUUAUUCAAGUAUUUAUUCAUCGUGUGGCACCCAUACUUCGUGGAAGAUAACCCACAGCAACUGUAGAAGAAAAGAAGUUGGUAUCCGAGAGAUCUGGAGAGCUUAGUGCAAAAGUAAAUCAGGCAAGCCCUUUUCCUCUGAAGAAGUUUAUAUUGAGACGAACGAAUGCCCUGUUGUCCAAUCACUUGCCACCAAAGGUAUGUCCUGUCCGGUGUAUAUUUGGCCAGAUAUGUUCAUCGCACAUUCAGAAACACAAAAAGAAUUGUAUUUUUGAAGUAGUGUGAUGCAAGCUGACUCCCUUACAGAUGACACUGUACAACCACUUCACACACUCCAAAAAUGUUAAGCGCUUGAUAUCUGAAGAAGCAAAGAGUACUAAAGUUUUGGCAUAUAUUACUGCUCUUAAGAAAUUAUGCAACCAUCCGAAGGUUUUUAGUUGAUGAAGGACGAAGUCCGCACCAAGAAGACCAUUCUGAUGGAUUCAAGAGAAUCAAAAGUGAAGAAUCAAGUUACAAUAAAUAUGUCGAUUACAAAUAUGCCUACAGAUACACAAGUGGUUUUCAGAUAUCUUUGCUUGAUUUGGAUCUGCUCAGAGAAAAAGGAUGGCCACAUUUAUAUGGUAGUUACUUCCAUGUCACAAAGGUGCUCUUCAGUAGAUGAACUGCACAACAGAACACGACACUAAUGGAAAGAUUCAGCAUCUUGGUCGGCUGCUCGCGGCUUGUGGCUGGUGGUUGCGGCAGUGGCAGAGCAGUGUCCGAGAGCGCGGCGCAAGCAGUGCUCCCUGCUAUGUGGGCUGAUGGGAGCACACCGUCCAAGCAGCACUUCCAAGUAUGACAAUGUCCGCUCUACACCAAGGUACGUGGGCACUCGUGCAAAGAUCUAACAUCUUCACCGACUAGGACUAAGGUCUAAAUACUGGAUGAGAUUUUCAUUGCUGGCAUUCUUCAUGAACCUAUCAAGGAGAACAUUUCAAUACUAAUUGCUGCAAAGGUGUUCUCACCACCGGCUAGCAAGAAGAGAGUAUGAUUUUUCAGUGCUCACUGUUGUAAGCUUGUUUCACAAGGAGCUUCCCAAUGUUGUACAUGUAGUCUGUUAUCUGGAAUGAUGGUAGGUAUUAAUGAAGUAGUCCAUGUUGGACUGGCUCAAAGUGGAGAAACAUGAUUGUAUUAUUAAGCAUUUAAGCUCCUAGCAAUUUAGAACCUCCAUAUCUUGGGGCUGCCUUGCAUUAUUUCAGAGAGCUAUAUUUCUGGUCUGGCAUGAUGUGCUGUCAGGACACGUCCCCACUUAUGUUCUAGGUUUGGGGGUUUGCAGAUUCGUUUAAAGGGAACACAAUACUCUAUGUGUUUGUCUUUAAUUAAUGGAUAAUAACAAUACA